AUACCAUGUCUCAAUACAACCUCCUUUGGAUCUGAACUGCUUCUUCUUCUCUACUCUCAGCCCAAACCUCAUUUCUCUUCCACCAUCUCUUCCAAAUUCCGAUGGAGAUCCAAUUCGAAGCCAAGAGUUCCGGCGAGGCGAAGCCGUUGAAGCUCGCUCCGGUCCAUGUCGUAGUCAGCGUCGAUCGCGACUUCUCCGACAACUCAUUUGCCCUCACUAGCUCUGUUUUCAGGGACGUAGGUUCGUCACUUUUACCCCAAUCUCCCAUCCCCGAGGAGGUGAAGAGCUUGCCGAGCAGCCCAAACUUACUAGCGGUCAUUGACGAGUAAACAGACUUGAAGGUGCAGAAGGUGAUGCUGGGACGAGUAUGGAUCUCUUCAAGGAAUCGGCGAUCUCAAAUCUUAAGGAGUUACUAGCGGAUCUGGUGAUCGGUAACAACCCAAUUCUGAGGAUGAUCCCUGGGAAUGUGUUCAUGCAUGAGCAGGACUACAAUGAAGCCUUCAAGUACACUCAUACCAGCGACAAUUUGGAACUGUAUGUCUGCGUUUAACUUCUUAAAUAAAGGUUCAGUGACUUUACUCUUUUGAUUUGCUAUCUCAUUCAAGUGUCAUAGUAGGAGUGACUUAUUCUUGGGUUCAGGUGCUUAUUAGGUUUUAAUUCAAGUACCAGAUGCAUCGCCAUACCUUGUGGUCAUUUAAAUUUAAGGCAGUAUUGAUCAGUUUCUUAUAUAAUUAGCUUGUAGGGUUAUUAACCAUAAAUAUGAGGUUGUCAUUCUACUGAGGCUUCAAACUUUGUACUUCUUGGAUAAUAACUGAUAGCAUUGAUUCCACUGAAGUACUUCUUGGAGACCAAUUCCAAAUUGAAGGAUCCAGAGAGUUGCAAUUCAUCCUUUGAUUCCGUUUCAAGUAGGGUUGAGCAAGUAUUUGAUGAUGUUGGUGUAAGUGAAAGUGAAAUCCAUGGGAAGACUGGUUAUUGGAGAAAGAAUUGGACUAGGUUCAUAUGGAGAAGUGUACCAUGCUGACUGGAAUGGCACAGAAGUUUCUGUGAAGAAAUUCUUGGACCAGGAUUUCUCGGGUGCUGCUUUGGCUGAGUUCAAAAGAUAAGUAAUUCUCUAGUCCUUAUGUGCAUUUUAAUGUUCUGCUUUAAAGUUCCAGCAUUUUCAGGAAAAGAAAGAAACCAAAUAAACUUACACCCUAGCAAAGUUGUAGACAAAAUAAAUUGGUAUGGUAUAGCUUUUUAAAUUUAAGUUAAAACUACAAAUGAUAAUUCUCCUCUCCUCACUUAACUUUUAUGGUGGAUUAUGACUGUCCUCACAUAAGCUCAAUAUCAUUAGUUCCAAAUCUGAAUGUACCUUGUAUGUAAUCUUUGGUCUGUAAUGUUAGGUACAGAUAAUAUGUAGGCUGCACCAUCCAAAUGUUGUGCUUUUCAUGGGUGCUAUUACACGUCCUCCCAACAUCACUAUCAUUACUGAGUUCCUCCCAAGGUAUAAGAUGAACUUCAAACAAUAUGAAAUGGCGAUUUGCAAUCAACAACAUAUGCUUACAUUUGUCAUCUUUGCAAUUUUAACUGGUCUAUAUAUUAAAGGAGUAAAAAAAAACAAUUUGGUAGUAACUUCACUGGUUUUAUAUACUAAUAUCUUUUGCACUAGCUUUAUAAACUGUUUAUAGAACAUUAUGUAAAUGUGACUAUCAUACUCAAUGUUUCUUUUUGUUAUCUUCUUUUUAUAAUGCAGCAAACAGGUGAUCAAGCCUUCUCUAGGACCUGGUCUAGUUUUGUAAUUUACUGAGUAAUACGAGUUGAUGUUUCUCAUUGUAGUUGUAAUGGGAAGGAUGCAUGAUGUAUCAAAACUUUUUGAGGCAUAUAUAUAUUUUCUAUGGUUAAAGUGUGCA